AGACAAUGCCCAGACCUCCAGAAACCAUGUGUCAAGCUCGGAUUGCCUUAGACAGGUGCAAUUUAAGAACAGCUUUCAUCCUCUUUUCUCUCAUAUUGUCACACUAUGUGUUCUGACUUCUGGCUCCUUUCCUCACAAGAAGCUCACCCAGCUGGAACUCUUAUGGGACCUUGGCACCAGAGACCACAAAUUCCUCUUUGAAGUUUUCUAACAGCAACAAUGGUAUUUCUGACUUGGCUUUCUUGUAUUUCUCUCACGUUAACAAAAUUGGUUCAGCAUCUACCAUGGGCUACAUGCUGAGCUACAGAGUUUCGCUCUGUCGCCCAGGCUGGAGUGCAGUGGCGCGCGAUCUCGGUUCACUGCAAGCUCCACCUCCCGGGUUCACGCCAUUCUCCUGCCUCAGCCUCCUGAGUAGCUGGGACUACAGGCGCCCGCCACCACACCCAGGAAUCCAACUUGCUGUUUGCUAUCACAUGUGCUAUACAUGCUGUUGAUGAAACUGCUAAAGGGGCUGAAUGUGACUGACGUCUUUGGAAGGAUGAGACUUAGCGUGCCUGUACAGUUGUGUCCAAAUGCUGUCCUCAUCUCCCAAUGAAAAGGGUUUUUCCUUAAGCCUCACAACAAUUUACAGCAUUGCCAGCAGCAUUCAGUACAUUCAGAACAGGAUAAUUUCACCCGCAGCUGAACUAGGGCCAUGCCUGGGACAGACAGAGAAUGGCCUUCCAGCAGACAUGCCAAGAAGCAAGCCAGGGUCAGUGAGUGAAGAGGAGGGCAGGCCCAUUUGAAGCAACACAGUUUAUAUACAUGAAAAGAAAGAAGGAGAGAAGGAAGAAAGGAGGGCGGAAGGAAAGGAAGAAGGGAGAGAAGAAGAGAAGAAAGAAGCAGAGAAAGGAAGAGAAAAGAAAUUACGGCCAGUGCGGUGGCUCACGCCUGUAAUCCUAGCACUUUGGGAGGCCUAAGCGGGCUGAUCACCUGAGGAACAAAACCCAUCAGAAGAUGUCAGAAGAUAAGGAUUUUUGUCCUGAUGCUACACUUACCAGCUGUCCCUCAGUGUUCUACUUCUUAAAAAAAGAGAGAUGGAUAAACAGAGGCAACCCGAGGAUAAAGGCCUUGCUCAGUGUCACACAUUUCAGUCACUAAAUAAGACACAAUGGAUGCCAGUAUUCUCAUCCCCUCACAAAUAAAGAGCCUUCAAGCUCUUGCAGUCAACAAGAACUUUUGGAAUGAUUUCACUGCCUGAAAAGGCAGAUACAUAGGUGACACCCACAAAUAGGAAGAAAAUCAACCUGAACCUGAGUGUGUGGGCUCACUGACUCUAAGCAGUAGAGACAGAAGAAAAAGUUUUAGCAAAGAAGGGUUCUGAAAGAAAAUAAAUAUAGCUCGUUAUCAAGUGCUGUUUUUACACAGUAAAACAUGGGCAAAAUUACUCUUCUUUAAGUAGUAAUUCUUAUCUCUUGAUUAAGUCACCUACUCAUUCAUUUAAUAAAUACAUACUGAUUGUUUUC
ensembl:lncRNA LUCAT1 lung cancer associated transcript 1